rnacentral:rRNA from 1 species
AUUGAACGCUGGAGGAAUGCUUUACACAUGCAAGUCGAACGGCAGCACGGGGCAACCUGGUGGCGAGUGGCGAACGGGUGAGUAAUACAUCGGAACGUGCCCAAUCGUGGGGGAUAACGUAGCGAAAGUUACGCUAAUACCGCAUACGAUCUACGGAUGAAAGCGGGGGAUCGCAAGACCUCGCGCGAGUGGAGCGGCCGAUGUCAGAUUAGGUAGUUGGUGGGGUAAAGGCUCACCAAGCCAACGAUCUGUAGCUGGUCUGAGAGGACGACCAGCCACACUGGAACUGAGACACGGUCCAGACUCCUACGGGAGGCAGCAGUGGGGAAUUUUGGACAAUGGGCGCAAGCCUGAUCCAGCCAUUCCGCGUGCAGGAUGAAGGCC